GGUGUUGCAUGGCUGUCGUCAGCUCGUGCCGUGAGGUGUUGCCUUAAGUGGCGCAACGAGCGCAACCCCUGUCCUUAGUUGCCAGCGGGUAGAGCCGGGAACUCUAGGGAGACUGCCGGUGCCAAACCGGAGGAAGGUGGGGAUGACGUCAAGUCAUCAUGACCCUUAUGUCCAGGGCUGCACACAUGCUACAAUGCGCGAUACAGAGGGUUGCGAUCCCGCAAGGGGGAGCGAAUCCCAAAAAGUCGCGCUCAGUUCGGAUCGGGGUCUGCAACUCGACCCCGUGAAGUCGGAGUCGCUAGUAAUCGCAGAUCAGCAAUGCUGCGGUGAAUACGUUCCCGGGCCUUGU
rnacentral:rRNA from 1 species